GCCUUCGUAGCUCAAUGGAUAGAGCAAGGGUGUUCUAAGCCCGGGAUGAGGGUUCGAUUCCCCCCGAAGGCA
rnacentral:tRNA from 1 species